CCUACGGGAGGCAGCAGUGAGGAAUAUUGGACAAUGGGCGCAAGCCUGAUCCAGCCAUGCCGCGUGCAGGAUGACGGUCCUAUGGAUUGUAAACUGCUUUUAUACAGGAAGAAACCACUCUACGUGUAGAGUCUUGACGGUACUGUAAGAAUAAGGAUCGGCUAACUCCGUGCCAGCAGCCGCGGUAAUACGGAGGAUCCAAGCGUUAUCCGGAAUCAUUGGGUUUAAAGGGUCCGUAGGCGGUUUAGUAAGUCAGUGGUGAAAGCCCAUCGCUCAACGGUGGAACGGCCAUUGAUACUGCUAGACUUGAAUUAUUAGGAAGUAACUAGAAUAUGUAGUGUAGCGGUGAAAUGCUUAGAGAUUACAUGGAAUACCAAUUGCGAAGGCAGGUUACUACUAAUUGAUUGACGCUGAUGGACGAAAGCGUGGGUAGCGAACAGGAUUAGAUACCCUGGUAGUCCACGCCGUAAACGAUGGAUACUAGCUGUUGGGGGCGAACUUCAGUGGNGUAGACGAAGUAGAUAAGUAUCUCACCGUGGGAGGUACGACGACGAGUUAGUAACGUACGAAGUAGUAAGUUAGUACGGCGUAGAGACGUUACGCCGACGGACGACCGACGAGGGGAGGGUUAGGGNG
rnacentral:rRNA from 1 species